rnacentral:rRNA from 1 species
AUGGAGAAUGGAUUGUUGAAGCUUUGGUCAAUGGUUGAAGAGAGCAAGUGUGCUAGGGUGAAUGAUAAUCUUGAAAGUGCUUUAACUAUUCACCAGUUGACAGAAGAAAAGAACAAGCUGGAUGCAGACUAUGACAAGUUGGUGAAAGAUGUGCAUCAACUUGUGGAUAUGCAGGAGGAUAGGGUUGUGGAUUUCAGCUAUCUGCAGUCCAACAUCACAUAUCAGCAGGAAUGCAGAGCUGAGUUGGUUGCUGGUAUGAAGGCAGAAAUGGCGAAGAAAGAUGCAGCUACAGAGAAGCUUCAACAGAAGUAUGAAAUUAUGUGCAACCUGACAAGUGCUCAAGAAACUGUCAUCCAAAACCUGAAGUUGAAGAAUAUGAAAGAGAAGGAAUUGCUGAGUGAGGCUAAGAUGAAUUUGGAGUUGAAGAAUGCAGAGUUCACACAGUUUGAGGAGAAGCUCACCCAAGAGAAGCUAGAGUUGAAGUUCCAGGUUGCUGAUCUGCUGAAGCUCAAGGAAAACCAUAAUGAAGAGAAGCAGAUGCAAGAGUUUAAGAUUACUGAGCUCAUGAAGGCACAGGAGAAGCUGAAGGAGAAGAUCAAGGGGAUCUAG